AGCAUAUAUGAUGACUGCCUUGAUGUUAUCGGUGGUGAGGGGUGGAUCGAGCUCGUCCUCCCUCUGGAUCCUCAGCAGUACGUACGUCGAGCGUGCCGCCGAGGGGCCAUGUGCGACUUGGUGGUGGUGCCUCUUCAUCCACUAGCUAGGAAGGCCAUCAGCAUGUGCUUUGCUGCAGGCAGCACACUCCAAUCCGGUGCUAUAUUUCCUGAGUGCUUCUGAGUUAUACCUUGACAGCGACACUACUGUCAACCAAUACGACGACGACUUCAGCAUCAUCAGCUUGUGGAUCAUCGAGGAAAGGCGACGGCGUCAACUUUAAAUACGGUGGAGAUGUUGUCAUUGGUGAAGGGCUAUAGAAGCAUGCAAUACAAAGACUCAACAUACCAUGGAGAAUGUGUGGAGCUGGUGGAGGGCAUUUGAGAACUUGUAUCUUGAUGAUGAGAACGUGUAAUGGUGUGGCCUGUGGGCUUGUACUCUCUUUCUUUUAUUUCCUGGAUGACUGUAAGACUUAUGAACACUUAAAGCUGUGGGCUGCACUCUUUUCCUUUUUGGGGUUUUCUCAUGAGGUGUGAGUUUUUACCCAUAAAGAUUUUUAAUGAGACAGUCAUUGCACUAAGCAGCUAAUUUAUCACUUAUGUUUA